GGGGCUAUGGUUUAAUGGUUAGCACUCUGGACUAUGAAUCCGGUGAUCCAAGGUCAAACCUCUCCUGGUCCUC